rnacentral:rRNA from 1 species
ACAGAGGUCUCAAGCGUUGUUCGGAAUCACUGGGCGUAAAGAGUACGUAGGCUGUUUUCUAAGUCAGGUGUGAAAGGCAGGGGCUCAACCCCUGGACUGCACAUGAUACUGGGAGACUGGAGUAAUGGAGGGGGAACCGGAAUUCUCGGUGUAGCAGUGAAAUGCGUAGAUAUCGAGAGGAACACUCGUGGCGAAGGCGGGUUCCUGGACAUUAACUGACGCUGAGGUACGAAGGCCAGGGUAGCGAAAGG